rnacentral:rRNA from 1 species
AUUGAACGCUGGCGGCAGGCCUAACACAUGCAAGUCGAACGGUAACAGGAAGCAGCUUGCUGCUUUGCUGACGAGUGGCGGACGGGUGAGUAAUGUCUGGGAAACUGCCUGAUGGAGGGGGAUAACUACUGGAAACGGUAGCUAAUACCGCAUAACGUCGCAAGACCAAAGAGGGGGACCUUCGGGCCUCUUGCCAUCGGAUGUGCCCAGAUGGGAUUAGCUAGUAGGUGGGGUAACGGCUCACCUAGGCGACGAUCCCUAGCUGGUCUGAGAGGAUGACCAGCCACACUGGAACUGAGACACGGUCCAGACCCCUACGGGAGGCAGCAGUGGGGAAUAUUGCACAAUGGGCGCAAGCCUGAUGCAGCCAUGCCGCGUGUAUGAAGAAGGCCUUCGGGUUGUAAAGUACUUUCAGCGGGGAGGAAGGGAGUAAAGUUAAUACCUUUGCUCAUUGACGUUACCCGCAGAAGAAGCACCGGCUAACUCCGUG